rnacentral:rRNA from 1 species
GACGAACGCUGGCGGCGUGCUUAACACAUGCAAGUCGAACGGAAAGGCCCUGCUUGCAGGGUACUCGAGUGGCGAACGGGUGAGUAACACGUGGGUGAUCUGCCCUGCACUUCGGGAUAAGCCUGGGAAACUGGGUCUAAUACCGGAUAGGAGCCAUUUUUAGUGUGAUGGUUGGAAAGUUUUUUCGGUGUAGGAUGAGCUCGCGGCCUAUCAGCUUGUUGGUGGGGUAAUGGGCUACCAAGGCGGCGACGGGUAGCCGGCCUGAGAGGGUGGACGGCCACAUUGGGACUGGGAUACGGCCCAGACUCCUACGGGAGGCAGCAGUGGGGAGUAUUGCACAAUGGGCGCAAGCCUGAUGCAGCGACGCCGCGUGGGGGAUGACGGCCUUCGGGUUGUAAACUCCUUUCGCUAGGGACGAAGCUUUUUGUGACGGUACCUAGAUAAGAAGCACCGGCUAACUACGUG